ACACUCCUACGGGAGGCAGCAGUGGGGAAUAUUGGACAAUGGGCGCAAGCCUGAUCCAGCCAUGCCGCGUGAGUGAUGAAGGCCCUAGGGUUGUAAAGCUCUUUCACCGGUGAAGAUAAUGACGGUAACCGGAGAAGAAGCCCCGGCUAACUUCGUGCCAGCAGCCGCGGUAAUACGAAGGGGGCUAGCGUUGUUCGGAUUUACUGGGCGUAAAGCGCACGUAGGCGGACUAUUAAGUCAGGGGUGAAAUCCCGGGGCUCAACCCCGAAACUGCCUUUGAUACUGGUAGUCUUGAGUUCGAGAGAGGUGAGUGGAAUUCCGAGUGUAGAGGUGAAAUUCGUAGAUAUUCGGAGGAACACCAGUGGCGAAGGCGGCUCACUGGCUCGAUACUGACGCUGAGGUGCGAAAGCGUGGGGAGCAAACAGGAUUAGAAACCCCGGUAGUCCCAUGA
rnacentral:rRNA from 1 species